rnacentral:tRNA from 1 species
AAAGAAUUAGUUAAAUAAUAACAUUAGAAUGUCAAACUAAUAUUACUAAUAAAUUAGUAUUCUUUG